rnacentral:rRNA from 1 species
GACGAACGCUGGCGGCAGGCUUAACACAUGCAAGUCGAACGCACCGCAAGGUGAGUGGCAGACGGGUGAGUAACACGUGGGGAUCUGCCCAAUGGUACGGAAUAGCUCCGGGAAACUGGAAUUAAUACCGUAUGUGCCCGCAAGGGGAAAGAUUUAUCGCCUUUGGAUGAACCCGCGUCGGAUUAGCUAGUUGGUGGGGUAAAGGCCCACCAAGGCGACGAUCCGUAGCUGGUCUGAGAGGAUGAUCAGCCACACUGGGACUGAGACACGGCCCAGACUCCUACGGGAGGCAGCAGUGGGGAAUAUUGGACAAUGGGCGCAAGCCUGAUCCAGCCAUGCCGCGUGAGUGAUGAAGGCCUUAGGGUUGUAAAGCUCUUUCGCCGACGAAGAUAAUGACGGUAGUCGGAGAAGAAGCCCCGGCUAACUUCGUGCCAGCAGCCGCCGUAACAC